GGGUCAGGCGGUCGACUGUGCACCUGCGGAGGGACAUU
rnacentral:rRNA from 1 species